rnacentral:rRNA from 1 species
UGAGUAACACGUAUCCAACCUGCCGUCUACUCUUGACAGCCUUCUGAAAGGAAGAUUAAUACAAGAUGGCAUCAUGAGUCCGCAUGUUCACAUGAUUAAAGGUAUUCCGGUAGACGAUGGGGAUGCGUUCCAUUAGAUAGUAGGCGGGGUAACGGCCCACCUAGCUUCGAUGGAUAGGGGUUCUGAGAGGAAGGUCCCCCACAUUGGAACUGAGACACGGUCCAA